UACAGAGGUCUCAAGCGUUGUUCGGAUUCAUUGGGCGUAAAGGGUGCGUAGGUGGUGAGAUAAGUCGGAUGUGAAAUCUCGGGGCUUAACCCCGAAACUGCAUUCGAUACUGUCUUGCUGGAGGACUGGAGAGGAGAUUGGAAUUCAUGGUGUAGCAGUGAAAUGCGUAGAUAUCAUGAGGAAGACCAGUGGCGAAGGCGGAUCUCUGGACAGUUCCUGACACUGAGGCACGAAGGCCAGGGGAGCAAACGGG
rnacentral:rRNA from 1 species